rnacentral:ncRNA from 19 species
GGUUGAACAAAUUUUUAUUUGAUUUCAAGAGAAUUUGACUUUUGGGGUGGGAAGUC